UGGCUCAGGAUGAACGCUAGCUACAGGCUUUAACACAUGCAAGUCGAGGGGCAGCAUUUUAGUUGCUUGCAAACUAAAGAUGGCGACCGGCGCACGGGUGAGUAACACGUAUCCAACCUGCCGAUAACUCGGGGAUAGCCUUUCGAAAGAAAGAUUAAUAUCCGAUAGCAUAUUGAGAUCGCAUGAUUUUGAUAUUAAAGAAUUUCGGUUAUCGAUGGGGAUGCGUUCCAUUAGCUUGUUGGCGGGGUAACGGCCCACCAAGGCGACGAUCAGUAGGGGUUCUGAGAGGAAGGUCCCCCACAUUGGAACUGAGACACGGUCCAAACUCCUACGGGAGGCAGCAGUGAGGAAUAUUGGUCAAUGGACGAGAGUCUGAACCAGCCAAGUAGCGUGCAGGAUGACGGCCCUAUGGGUUGUAAACUGCUUUUAUAAGGGAAUAAAGUGAGUCUCGUGAGACUUUUUGCAUGUACCUUAUGAAUAAGGACCGGCUAAUUCCGUG
rnacentral:rRNA from 1 species